AACGAACGCUGGCGGCAUGCCUAACACAUGCAAGUCGAACGAAACCUUCGGGUCUAUUGGCGCACGGGUGCGUAACGCGUGGGAACCUGCCCUUAGGUUCGGAAUAACUCUCCGAAAGGGGUGCUAAUACCGGAUAAUGUCUUCGGACCAAAGAUUUAUCGCCUUUGGUUGGGCCCGCGUUGGAUUAGCUAGUUGGUAGGGUAAAAGCCUACCAAGGCGACGAUCCAUAGCUGGUCUGAGAGGAUGAUCAGCCACACUGGGACUGAGACACGGCCGAGACUCCUACGGGAGGCAGCAGUGGGGAAUAUUGGACAAUGGGCGAAAGCCUGAUCCAGCAAUGCCGCGUGAGUGAUGAAGGCCUUAGGGUUGUAAAGCUCUUUUACCCGGGAUGAUAAUGACAGUACCGGGAGAAUAAGCGCCGGCUAACUCCGUG
rnacentral:rRNA from 1 species